UCACAAAAAUAUAAAACAUCCUUCGGGGCCCCCGAAAUGCCGGGGCCCCGGGCUGCAGCCCCGGUAAGCCCCUGCUAAAAUCCGGCCCAGGCUCUAACACUGAAGGAGUUAAUUCACUGACUCCGCCCCAGAAUCACAGAUUCCUACCGAAGCAAAGCGACAGAAGCCAAGUCAUUUCAGGACUAUUUACUUUCCACAUGUCUGAGGUGUUUACCACGCUUGAACCAGUCUGGUUGCAGAUGAAUCUCCAGUCGUCAGCCUAACCUCCCCCUCCUGAUCCCUCCAUGGAUUCUUCGAAGAUUCAAGCUCCAAAAAUGAUUAUUUAAGUGUUAAUAUCUCUGAAACCCUACAUUUCUGUAAUGGAGGCUUGUUGUUAGAGUUGUAGUAAAAAUGUA